GAUGAAGAACGUAGCGAAAUGCGAUAAGUAAUGUGAAUUGCAGAUUUCAGUGAAUCAUCGAAUCUUUGAACGCACAUUGCGCCCCUUGGUAUUCCAUGGGGCAUGCCUGUUCGAGCGUCAUUUGUACCUUCAAGCUUUGCUUGGUGUUGGGUGUUUGUCCAUUCUCUUGCAGAGGGACUCGCCUUAAAGUAAUUGGCAGCCAGUGUUUUGGUUUUGAAGCGCAGCACAAGUCGCGAUUCAAAGCUAUACGCCCGCUUCCACAAGCCUUUUUCACUUUUGACCUCGGAUCAGGUAGGGAUACCCGCUGAACUUAAGCAUAUCAAUAAGCGGAGGA
rnacentral:misc_RNA from 1 species